rnacentral:lncRNA from 1 species
CAAAGUGAUCAAACUAACAUGGGAAGUGUCUCGCUUCUUUCUGCAGUUGCAAGAAGGUAAUCUUAGUUUUGUUACCUUCAACACUUUGAACUAGCUAGCUGAGAAUCCAUUGAACCAGAUUGAAAUUUAUAAAUUUAUCACAGUAAUAAAUUUAUCGAUAUUCAGUUGAUUCAAAUAAAUUAAGUCCAAUUUAAAAAAACCAAAAUAAAAAAAAAACAAAUUAAGUCUAUCAUAUGCUCAUGUAUUAUAUAAUAAACUAAAAAACAGUCUAAAAAAAUAUAGUCUAUGAUUCAAAUCAUGUGUUUCAAGAAUUAAAUUAUGAAUCUUAGAUCAAUUCAAUAAAUAAUUACCUUGAUAUUUUAAAAAUAAAAUUAUGUCAUACUGGAUUUAUUUUUUUGCUAGAGUUAGAUUUUUUUUGUACAUUUUUUUUAAUUAACAAAUUAGGCUAAUUAGGUUUUUUUAUAGUCCAUUUUUUUUUUUGCUGCACUCAGCACAUGUACCUAUUUAGUAUGAACUAUUGCAUCAUACAACAUAUUAAUAUGAUAAGAAAUAUUGAUUUGGUAGAAUUGGAAAGGGUUUUUUUUAUGGGUUAUCAAAAUCGGAAUAUCCCACACGUCAUGUAAUUAUUUUUUCCCUUCAUUAAAAAAUGCAUAAUUGAAAAUGUGGGCAUCGUUUUUAUAGUGAUUUUGGCUUUACAGGAGGGAAGUGGAACGUCAAGCAAUCGGACAAGGUGGAACCCAACACUCCCGGCUUCAUGUUGGAAAGAUGAAUAACAGCCUUAAGGACGGCGCGCCAUCGUAUUAAAAAUGCGGGCAUCGUUUUUCUGGUGAUUUUGGCAUUACAGAACCAUUAACAGGCCAAUUAAGGAACAGGAGUUCACAACCGUGGCAAAUAAUAAAAGCUUGAGAUUAACAAUUUUAUUUUUUUUAUUGUUUUAGGUUUGUUUCCUGUAAUUGUUUAUUUAGUAAUUAUUAAAAAUUUAUAUAGUUAUUAAUUUUAAAACUUGUAAAAUUAAUUAAAAUACAUAUAAACUGACUCGAACAACAAUAUUAAUAAAAAUAAAAAAAAAAACCUAGAGUUCACGAAUCAACAGAAACAGAACGUAAAUGGAAACAAAAUAUUUUGUAUGAUCACUUUACAAUAACAAGGACGGGCGGCUAAGCAAUUAUGGUCCAAUCAAGGUGAUUGAUUCAACCCCUAAUGUCAGGUUGCAUGUGGUAAAUAUGCUUGAAGAGAAAGAUGUUCUGACUCUGGUAGCUUUUUGCACAACAGUGUUCUGCUUUCAAGUACCUUGGAGAGAAAGAUAAGAAGCUAGUUGGAGAUCGAUCCCGCAUCAAUUACUUUUACUUAUAUGUAGUCACAUUAUUCAUCACUUUAUACUUUGUUAUGAAAGCUAUUGUUUAUUAUUUUUUAGAUUUAUUAUAAAUUAAAAAAAAUAUUAAAUCCAGUUGAAUUUAUAAUUAACACUAAUUCACACUAAUUUUACAAGUUUUACGGUUGACGUUACUGUUUAUUUUUUUAAUAAAAAAAUGUCUUUUAAAUAUUUUUUAAAUUAAUUAUAUUUUUAUUUAGAUUAAUAUAUAUUUUUUAUUUUAUGUUAUUUAAAAAACCUCUUUAAAAUAACAAUUAUUUUUCAAUCAUGCAAUUUUGUGUACAUGACGUGCCUUCCAUGUGGACAGGUGCUUGAGCAACAGGUGCCUUAAUGAUGGCUAUAUUAGGGAAGUAUCAUGUGCUAGGAAAACACAGAGAGUGGCUUCCAGGGGAACUGAUACUGAUUCAUGGGGAGUGUUUCACUUGUCUCAGCAGCCCUAAGAAGGUAAUUGAUUUUCAAUUUGCUUUCUUUGUGUAAAUUAUUCUUUAGUUCAUGGGAUUUGAGCACUAUCAUGGCUUCCCUUCCUUGGUUUUUGCUACCUCUUGUCAUGUUAAAAAUAUAUGUUCGUUUUCCCCUAAAUUCUCACUAUGCUCGAUUUUAUUUAUGAAUUGAAACGGUUUCGGGAAAAACCAACAUGGUGAGAAGUUAAAAGAACAAAAAAUUGAUCUAACGAAAGCUUUUUGCUGGUGUUGUAGGCUAGAAGGCAAGGUGGCAUUAAUCACUGGAGGGUCUAGUGGCAUAGGAGAGUCCGCUGCUAGACUGUUCGCCAAACAUGGAGCUAAAGUGGUGAUUGCAGACGUUCAAGAUGAACUAGGCCACUCUGUUUGCGAAGAACUGAAGACUGAAUCAGCCUCAUUCGUCCACUGUGAUGUCACUCAAGAGACAGAUGUUGAAAAUGCUGUUAACACAGCUGUUUCUAAGCAUGGAAAGCUGGACAUCAUGUUCAAUAAUGCAGGGAUAGCAGGCACGCCAAAACCAAACAUACUUGACAACGACAAGGCUGAAUUUGAGAAGGUCAUUAGUGUUAAUGUAGUCGGCGCGUUCUUAGGCACUAAGCACGCAGCCCGCGUCAUGAUCCCUGCUCGGCGAGGUAGCAUAAUCUCAACCGCUAGCGUUUGCGGAACAAUUGGAGGUGUUGCAUCACAUGCCUACACAAGUUCGAAGCAUGGUGUGAUAGGGUUAAUGAGAAACACAGCUGUGGAGUUAGGGCAGCAUGGCAUCCGUGUAAAUUGCGUGUCGCCCUACGUUGUUUUGACUCCAUUGGUGAGGAAUUUCUUUAAGCUGGAUGAUGAUGAAGUAAAUCGUCUUUACUCUAAUCUGAAAGAAGCAGUUCUGAAAGCAGAAGACGUUGCUGAGGCUGCUCUUUUUCUGGGGAGUGAUGAGUCCAAGUAUGUUAGUGGACAUAAUCUGAUUGUAGACGGGGGCUUCACCAUUGUUAAUCCAGGAUUCUGUAUGUUUCCACAAUCUAUUUGAAUCUGGAUUUAUGAUGAAAUUAAUGAUGGAGCCAUAAAUUGAAGCAAUAAGACAAGUCUUCUUUAAUUUGAUAGUUAUUUCAAUUUCAAGACAUGUUAUUUUUCGACGAACUCUUUCCACCUUCCUUUUUCACGCAAAACUUGAUGUCAGAACAAGAUGGCAUUGUUAGAAAUUAAUGAUGUCGCCCUUAUAAGUCGUAAUACACCCAAAAUCACAAGCAAUUUUUUUGAAAAAAUUGUGGUCAGAAGUAAUUUUCUCCGUGGAUAUUUUCUUGAAAAAAAUUAUUGCUGUGGUACUAUCAUUUUAAUAAUAGAAAAACUCAUUGCUUGAAAAAGAGUGCGGCCAGCAAUUCUGUAAUUAUACCAGUACUACUACUGCAGCAGCCACUCGGGACAAACACAAAGUGCUGGACGAUAAUGACAAAAAUUAUUGCUGUGGUACUAUCCUGUUUUGCUGCCAACUCGUUCAUUUUCUAAAAUCUAUGCAUCACAAAUAAGCAAAAUUUUCAACAAAGGGUAAGAGAGGGCAAAAUCCUACAAACUCUCGGUCCCGAUAUUGCCACUUGUGUGGCAGCAAGAUGCUUGCCAUUAUCAAAGAUAAAAAAGCUAGCUUGUAAAAGUAGUAAGAGAAGCUGUCAUUAAAGUCUAUUAAAAAUGUGUUUGUUUAUGUUGUAGUUGUGAUUGAAAAAAAUAUAUUUUUUAAAAAUCACAUUUUCUGUGGUUUGUUUAUAUAUUUUGAGUGUUUGGUUAAAAGUGUGGUUUGACUUUAUUGUGGUAAAAAACAUGUUUGGUUAAACCUGUGGUUGCGGUUGUAUUUGUACAAAAAAUUACUAAAUAAAAUAAAAUAAAAUAAAAAGGACAUUAAUAAAUUAAUUCAUUGUGUUAAGAGGAAGUAAAACAUUUUUUCCACAUAAAUACCGGCAAUAAUAAAAGCGUGCUUUGUUAUUACAAUUAAACAUUAUUGUCCCAUCAAACUAUUUGCAAUGCCAUCACGAAUAUGAUUCAUACGCGACGCCCUCUGGUGUCCACUUGUUUGUGAUUGUGGAACAAUAUCGGGAAAAGUAUCUUGAGGAACGAAAUCAGGAUGGCUAUCAAACUUGUUGAAUGCAACAUCUUAGCCCGACUUUCAUCGAAUAUAGUUGUGUAGCGCCAUUGAUGCGACAACAAUUUUAACAUGUGAUUUGUAUGGAAACUCAGGCAUGGUUUGCAAGAUUCGCCAUCUUUUUUUCCAAACUCCAAAUGUACGUUCGAAUACACAUCGUGAUGAUGAAUGGACUCGGUUAAAUAGUUCCUCCCGACUCCGCGGUUGUCCUCGUCGAUGAAAUUCCGAAAGAUGAUAUCUUUCCCCUUUAUAUGGACCCAAGUAACCGUACUCAUUCGGAUAUCCCGAAUCAACGAGAUAAUACUUCCCUGCAUAAAUGUUAGAAUUGAUUAAUGCUUACAAAAUACUUCAUAUAAAAACAAAUUAGACCAGCUGAACAACAAGUACAAUUUAUUUUUUUGUGUUAAUACCUUCUGGUGGCGUCGGAAAUUGUAUGUUUGUAUUUCCAAUCGCUUCAUAAAAUAUUGUUGUAUCGUGAGCACUACCUUCCCACCCAGCCCAAACAAAUGUAAAUUGCACGUUAAAGCUACAUGUUGCCAUUAUAUUUUGCGUCGGUAUACCUUUUCUACCAAUAAAAGGUAUUUGAUUUUCUUGUGAAACACAUGCACGUACAUGUGUUCCACCAAUCGCUCCAAUGCAAUUCUACAUACACAAAAAUAUUGUUGCCGAAUCAAUUUAAUUGCACGUAAAUAAUUGAUUGUAACCUUUUAAAAUAUUUAACUACUUGUACAAAGUAUUGCUUACCUUGAAAUAAGGCAUUUAUCUGGGAUUCAUUUCAAUUUCCAAUGGUGUUGUCGUGAAUUUUGGAUCUACUGGUCUGAUUAAAUCAGCUGCUAGCAAGCACAAAGAACGAAGAACUUCGUUGAAAAUUCUAGAAACGGUUUCACCUGAAUGUUGAAAAUGCUCAUGCACUUCCCUAUUCGACGCACCGAGAGCUAAAGUGUAGAGAAACAUGCCUACUUUCUCAAUAACACUCAUCCGUCUAGACGGUUUCAACCCGUACAUCGUUUCCAACUCAAAAGCCAAACUCUUCAAUGUCUCAGCAUUCAUCCAAAAUAUGUUCACACAACGAAUCCAAUGCCCAUUUAAAAUUUCAAUCAACUAGCGCAUGCCAGUAUUGUAUGAAUCCAUACAUGGCUCUUUAUAAAUAUACAUAUUGUAAUACAUCGCCAGUGCUCUAGCCGUGCAUAUGACCAAUUUAGUGCGAUCACACUCUCUAUGCCAAAAUAAAUCUCAAAUAGCAUUGUCAUCCUGUUGAUUUAGGUCAUCGUGCUGAACCUCACUAUUAUAGUUUACAUAACCAUCACCAAAACUACCUCCAAAACCACUUACAGAACUUGUACCAGCAAAUCCAUCAGACACAUAUUGACCAAUAUUAUUCAUAACAUUUUCAUAAUGGUCAUCAAAAAGCGCAUUAAACCAAUUUGCGUCCAUAUCUACAAACAAAAUUUAAUAUCAAUUUCCAACCUACAUAGUAUCGGUACAAAAUACAUGUUCAUUAAAUGAUUUGUUUUGAAAUUUUGUGUCGUUAAUGCUAGUCUUAACACAUUCAAUAUUUUUCAACACAACAAUAAUUAUAAUUUUCAAGCUGUAACGUUAUGGUAAUAUGAAAGUUUUGUCUGUGUAAUUUGUUUACAAUAUUUUAGACAGUAAUGACGACAUUAACUUAUCCCACAACAUAUAUAUUAUAGGAAUCCCAUAUAAGCGAACGUAUUUACGACAACAUUAACUUGAGCAAAAAAUAUAUAAUUUCAAGCGACCCCUACGAAAUGAACAAAUUUUACUUAUAAGUUUCGCAUUAAAUAUUAUACAACACAACCGUACAUGCAACCCACAAAACAGUGUUCAUACGUUGGCAUGCUUUAAAUUAAUUGGUGGCAGCCACUUAAGGUUUCUUAACAAAACUAAAAGUACCGAGAAGGGACAGCUGUAUAAAUAGCAAAAAAACAUACAUUCACUUGCUUUAUUGACAAUAACAACAGACCUAAAAUGAUUUAACAGUGCAAAUUCGGUAACAAAACAACAAUAGAAAGCUUUAUGAACUAAAAAGCAUACCUAAAAUCAACAACUAACCUUCUAAUGGCAAUGAACUUCAAGUUGCAGUAUAAAAAUAGAAAAAAAAAAACCUUCUGAAACAGCCCUCACUACCGUGGGAAUGGUUGCAAAUUUUGUUCCCAGCCAAUGACAACUCUUUGAAAAGAUAUUGCUUCUUAAAUAGAAACACACACACAGCACAAACAAGCUAUAUUUACUGUCAUACACAUCAGCAAACCAGUAUUUGUACAAUUACCAACCAUUUAACCCAGCAACUCUCAUUCAACCCACUAUCAAACAUGCAAGUAACUUCACAAUAAUUCAUAUCAGUAGCUGACAUUCAAGUCAACAUAAAUUCACCCAAUCAGUAGACAUUCAAGUCAACAUAAAUUCACCCAAUCAGCCAUUCAACUCAUAAAAAACAUGCAAUUCGUUAAGUGAAAAACUAAAAUUCAAGGCUGAAAAGGCAGCCUGAAGACAAAGUAUUCCAGCCAUUCAAACUAGGCUAAAGAUGACAACAUGAAACCUCCAAUUACAGCUUCUAAUUAAACAAUAAUUGUUAAAAUCAUCUCAAACAUAACUAAUACACUUGUUGUACAAAGGCAGUCCUCAACAUAUGAUACGUUACAAGCUAAUACACUUGGAGAAAACAGCAAAGACAUAACUGUUUGAAUCAACCAUUAUGCAAUUUUACAUCCGCAACAAGACCUCAUGAUCCUCACCCUUAUGUGGACUGUUCACUGUGAAAAAAACAUGUAAAAUACAAUAUGUUAACAGCUCAUUGGAAUACAAAACAAACAUGAUAACCUUGCAAAACAUUAGAAAAACGUGAAAUAUGAAAAGCAUGCAAUAAUUACCAAAACCUAUUAAACACAACAACAUUUAAUUGCUGCAACAUAUAACAUAUAAUAACAUACAUAAAUGUAAGUUUUUCAUAUAUCAAAUGAAAACUUACUUCAAGGUCGGUAGUUAACCCUUCGAUCGAACAUUAAUUUCAGCCACUGAAAUUUUCGAUCCAUAUCACCAAUUGUUGCCCACAUUUCCCUCCUACUUCUAACCAUAAAAAACUCAGUUGCAAAGCAAUACAGCUCACUGCUGAACACCACUUCCUCAAUGGAGUGAAACUCCUUCAUCACCUUUUCUAUGCUACAUCAUUUUUUUUUUAUCCAAAACACUUGAUGUGCACUCAUUCUUGGUAGAUACACUAUCCACUAACUUAUCUAAUCGCGAAAACAAUUGUGAUCCCCUUCCGACACCCUUUUUUUUUCUCAUUUUGUUGGGAACUUUGUUGCACACCUUUUCUCUUCCCACUACUACCAGUGAGAUUGCUUGUGCUAUUUGCAAAAUUGACACCAGCCACCAUGUUAUUGAUAUCGGCAACAAAAUCGCCACUACCUUCAUCAAGAUGAGGGUCUUCAUUAACUGCGUUAUUUUGCCUUUGACCGCCACUAUCUUCAUCCGAAUUCAGACCCUGUGAUGGAGCCCAAGCAUACUGACCGGUAGCAACAAUGUUUGUAAACAUAAUAUCAUAUUUACAACACAAUGUUGGAUCGAUGCCAGCAUGCCUAAACUUUCUUACCCCGCGUAUCUCCUACAACAAGGGAUAAUAAACAAAAAAAUGCAUCAUAAAUGAUGUAAAAACACACAAGCAAAUGGUUUAUAACAGCUCUAAACAUAUUGAAAAAAGACAGACCUGGUUUUUAGCUUUCCACCAUUCAUCAAGAGCCAAAAUUGUUCUAAGUUCAGCACUCCAUCCUACUCCUAUUUUGUAAAGCAACCUUUUCCAUAUUCUCCAAUCUUUUUUAAUUCCGUCCCACUUAUUCUUUAAUUGUGAUUUCGUUAAUGCAUGGUCAGUUUGAUCCUUAAAGCAAUUAAUAACAUAUUUCCACCCAACUUUGUCGAAAUGUGUGUUGGGUCGUAUACCUUGCUCAAUUGCUUUAAUACAAAUGUCACAAAAAACAUGCAACAUCUCUCUACUCCAAUAAACUUUAUCUUGUGAUUGAGAAUCGUCCAUGUUGUCGGUUAAAAUGUGGUCUAAUUAACAAUUAACAGGUUACUUUCCUAGAGGCGAUGUAAAGGACAUGAAAUGUACAAUCUAUCCUAAUUAAAUCGCAAGCUGAAAUAAAAACUGCAAAUUAAUAACAUAGACUUAACAUAAUCAGCUUAAGACUUUCAUUGAUAGGUUUAUUUCCAUUAAAGUGUGUACAAGCCAAUGUAUUCAUUGCCUAAGCGUAAGAAGGCAUGCUAAAAAGACAACAUCCAGCCUUGAGUGUAUAUAGCAAUAUUCAAGUACUGAUUUGCAUUGGAGUUUUGAAGGAAUUACUUAAAACAUGUUCAAAUGGAAUCCUCUUUCAGUUAUGAAAAAUAUUCUCAUGUUAAACACAUCAGCUAGUUAAACUCAACCUUAGGCACUCAGAAAAAGGCACAUAAUUGAACUCAACCUCAGACCAUCAACAAAACCCCACAUGAGCAACAACACAAUACAUUUUAAAAAAAUUUCAAGAACCUGAACAAACACUAAAUGAUAGGGGGAUUAGAAAUUUAGAAUAUGUAUUUAUGUUAUACUAUCAAAGACAGAAAAGACUAAUUAUAACACAAAAUAAGUUGUCUAAAUAAAAAGGAAAAGGAGCACAAACACAAUAACAGAGCAUCAGAAACCGGAAGAAAAACAGAUAAUACAACAACCACCCAGAAAAUGUAAUAUACAAUUGGCAUAACAAAGUAACAGAAUAAUUCAACCGAAACAUAUAUAAUCAAACACAACAAUAAUAUAAAUGUUUAUUCUCAGACAUCACACAACAACUGAAAAUUAAAGACUACAUUAAUUAUGCAACUGAAACAAAGCAACUGACCUUGAUUUUUCCUUUAUGACCGAGACAGAGAUUGGUAACAUGCUUGGCCUUCAGCUUUCCAGGAGGAUGAUUUCGAUGCUGUAUUUGGUUUUGGCAAGGAAAACAUACAGCAAUCGAAAUUUUUGGUUAGAGAAAACAGUGUGUUUUAGCAGAUAAGGCAUGAUCUAAAUAAUUUUUCAGGUGAAGUGCGAAGAACAUUACCUGGGUUACUGUGUGUCUUCUUUAACCGAGAAAGGAGUUCAUCAUGGCAGCAGAUCGGUGGCAGAUGGGCGUGAUCUACACUCGGCUACACACAUUGGUGAUGGUCUGUGUGAGAGAAUGGAAAGAGUGUAUUGUGGGUGUGUUUCCCACACUGUGAAAUCGCGAGGAGAAGGAUUGAUUUUUUGCUUCGGGCAGCUUUGGAGGAGGAGAGCUCAGUGUGGGAGGAGAGACGAGAUGAUAGGGCUAAUUAAUUUUUUUGGUAAAGUUUAAUGCAUUUUCUCUAAACAGCAGCCAUGGCAAAAGCAACUGCGAGUUGCUUUCGCUUAUCCUGCGUUUGGAACGCAAUUUGUGUGGGCCCUAUGUGAUUUGAAAAUGCCGGUUGCUGUUAACCAAACAGCUUCACACAAUGAAAUGCUUGAAACGUGGACGCUCCCACAUAACCAAACUGGUUCUAACUCACCAAGAGAGAGAGCAAAAAGUGAGAGACCAAGAGAGUGAAGUGAAGAGGAGAAAAGAGAAAAAGGAGUUGUUGCCAUGGACAACAGUGUGUAUAAACUGGGAGUUAAAAUAGAGUAGAUGUGAUUUUCCUCCUACAGGUAUUUGUUUUACCGCCAACUUGUUCAUUUUCUAAAAUUUAAGGACCACCAAAAAGCAAAAUUUUCUACAACAGGAUAAGAGAGGAUGAAAUCCUAUAAACUCUCAACAAAGGAAUAGACUCAAUGAAGAGGACAAAGUAAAAAUGAUGGCUCGUCGCUUGCACCUCUGUAAUCUGGGUCUGAGUUUUUUCAUACUUUGCCUUCAGAAAUUCCACCCACAAGCUGUUGUUAUUAUUAAGAAUACCCCAAUCCAGUUUCAUGGUGAAUGCCUUGUUCAUAUCUUACAUCCUUCUUAAUCCCAAACCACCCUCUACCUUAGGCCGGCAAAGUGUCCUCCAAAUAAGGAGAUGGGUUUUGCCCCUUCCCUCCUUCAUGCCCCGGUUGAAUCUUCUGCAAAUCUUUUCUAUCUCCAUGCAGAUACCUUUAGGAAGAACUGUAGACUGCAUUGGAUAAAGAGGAAUGGUGGACAUAACUGAUUUGCAAAGUGUGAUACGUCUAGCUAGUGAGAAGUUAUUAGACUUCCAACUAGCCAGCUUCCUUUGCAAAUUCUUAAGGAUGUAACCAUAGGUUUGCUUCGUGAUACGCUGAUGCCGAAGAGGAACUCCCAAGCACUUGCCUAAGUCCUCAGUUCUCCAAAAAUCAUAGUCUCUACUAAUGUUUCGAGCUAACGAGUCUGAUACAUUCCUGAAGAAAAAUACUUUAGUUUUGUUAAUACUGACCUUCUGACCCGAAGCAUUGCGGAACUCGUUUAAACGAGGUAUUUAGUAGUACAUUUUUAUUAAAAAAAACACUAAAUCAAGAAAGAUUUACAGGUAUAAAAUUUUAGAAAAAUGAAUAUGUCCCAAUAAAGACGUGUUGUGUAUAGCACUAGUUUAACCCAACACAUUAGGCUUGGCGGUGUGCUAAUCCCUAAAACACUAGGCUUAGCAAUGUGCUAAACUCCAAGAAUAUUGGGUCUAGUGUUAGCAAGACCUAAAUGCGAAAUAGCUUGGAAGUGUGCCAAGCUUCGAGCACAUUAGGUUUAGCACUAGCUAGACUCUAUUAUAAUUGAGCUUGGUAGUGUGCCAAGCUUUAGGCACGUCUAAUGAAAUGAUCAUUCUCUAUUGGGUCUCUAAUGUAGGGGAAAAACUCAAUUUUUAUGAGCUUAGCUAUAUUUGUUGUAUUGGAUCAUAAUCUUGUUAUACAUUUUAGGUGUAUAAAAUUCUCUCUAUAAAAAGAUACUUAUUUAAGUAUUAGAGAAUCCUCACAUUUAUCAAAGUCACUUUAAUCUACCAAGCAUCAAGUAUAAAAUAUCAACUACCUUGACUAGGAAGAAUGAAUGAAACUGCUAAGACCAAUUGAGUAACUCAUUAUCUAAUAUGGAAGCUCUAUUCCUGAGCUACCUGGAUUUUUAGGACAUCAUCAGUGGCAUUGUUUGCAGAAAACUAAUAAAAAAACCAUUGGUUUCUUCCUUAAGCUUGCUUUUGAUAUUUUCAUAUCAUUCCAUGACGCAUAACCAAUACCCACCUGGGUCAGGUUGUAGGGAAAGUUUUCUCAUUAUUGUAUACAUUUAUGCCCAAACAAAGUUUCAAUAACUCUUCAAUUAGGUUUGACUCCUCAUUGAGGCAAUGCUAGCCACUCAAGGUGAGACAAGCAAAUUUGGGCUAUGCUUUGCUUGCUUCACAAAUGUAGUUGCAACCUUGAAAUUUUAAAAAGCUUUCAACAAGUACGAGUGAAAUGUUAGUUCAAACUAUGAAACAUGUGAAAUAUUUUUUUUAUAACUAUCUAAAGGAAAAGAAAAAGUCUCCCUCAUGCCGGACACUCAGCUCAAAUAAAAAAUUACCAUAGCCAAUAAGAAUAAGAAUGUAAGUUUCUUAUAUAUAAAUGACUUAUUUAAAAUGAUUGUUUUUGUUUUUUCUAGGUGAUGUCUUAGCCUUUCAAUAACACACCUUGUAAAGGAUGUACUUGGUCUUCCUAGUAUUAUAUGCACCAUUUUCCAAGAGAUAGAUGUAAUCUUUCUAAUGCUAUAUACAUCAAUCUUCAAGGGAUAUAUGUAAUCUCUCUAGUGUUAUAUACAACAAUCUCCCAUAGAUGAAUGUGAUUGGUCUUCCUAAUACAAAUAGCAACAUCAUAUAAUCACCACUCUUAGUUGGGGACUCUCAUGCUCUAUAAAACAAAAAAUCAUGGUGACCUUUUUUAGUAGAUGACUUUUAAGUCUUGUGACAAUGUUGGCAAAACUACAGGCUCCCACUUACCGAAAAUCUGUAAUCACUUAGAAGUUUUUGAGUAUAGGUUCACUCUCAUUGGGUUCCGUAUAGCCACUUAAAAAUUUAUAUAGAUGAUGAAUAAGGUACCCUCAAUCUUUUAGAAAUCUUCUAAGUAUAAAUUAUUAUUCUUUUGUGUAUGAAAGAUUUAUUUUAUUCUAGAUGAAUAUUUUUCUAUAUUUUUCCUAGCUUAUACAAGCAAACCUCAUUACUCUAUCUAAAUUAAUAAGUUAAUUAAAAUCUUUGUAUAUUAUUAUAUCGUAAGCCUUGAGCUAUUGAUGAGCCAAGUUUUUAAGGGUAUAUAUAUAUAUAUAUAUAUCAAAUCAAGAAAAAAUAAUGAGCAUAAAUUUUUUGGGAAACUAGCAUGCUUCAAUAAAGAUAUAUGUGGGGUAUGAAUAUAGUCAAACUUGGCAUGUUGUGCUUGACAAUGUGAACUUUAAAAUACUUUUAGACAAUAAACAAGAGUAAAAAGUAAAAAUAGAAGUACAAAGUAACAGGGAAACCGAGAGUAAUAUGAGAAGAGUAUGACUAGGAUCCGUGAGUUUCCUGAAUAGAAGGCCUGAGAGUUAUUGGAAUAGGUUUUCUCUAACCGUCUAUAAAUUACCCUCUUAAUGCUUGCAAUUUCCUUCUAAAUAAAGAUUGUAGAACAAUUCUUCCUCUAAUUUGUUUGUCAUUAUAAUGAAAAAUCAUAUAGUUAUAGAAUUUGGCCUGAUAUGUGAAUCAACCCAGUAACCCCAUCAUCUAGAGCUUGAUUCAUGGCAUAUUUCAUUUUGAAUCAUUUUUUUAUACCAAAAAAACGGUAUUUUUAAAACUAAAACAGUGUAGUUAUAUAUUUUUUUAUAAAAAAAAAUCCCAUAACAACAUUGUUUUAAUUAAAAAAUUAAAUUCACUUGAUAAUUUAUAAAUAAUUAAUGAAGAUGAGAAAGCCAGGGCAAUUAUUUCAGCUUUCAUUAUUUGUAUGGCCAUUCUAUUUUGUUAGCCUAUGCGAUUUCAAGGGAGAUGCCAAUGUGAUAGAUCCAAUGUCUGAAAAUGAUGGCAACUUACAAAGUAGUGGAGAAGAAACGAUCUCUGUAUCGACACUUGAUUGUGACUUCCAUUAAAAGCAGAGGCCAUAACUUUAAGAACUAAAAUAAUCUUCUUUAGAGACUCAUUUCAUUUUCAAGAUUUCUAGUCUUGAUCUGGAAAAAAUAAGAAUCUACUCUUACUUGCAAGAGCAUACCUAGCUCAUCAAAGUGAUCAAAUUAACAUGGGAAGUGUCUCGCUUCUUUCUGCAGUUGCAAGAAGGUAAUCUUAGUUUUUUUACCUUCAACACUUUGAACUAGCUAGCUGAGAAUCAAUUGAACUAGAUUGCUAUAAAAUAAAUGAAAAGUUUAGCUUCUCUGAUUUGUUCUUUUACUUCUUGAUUAAGAGAUAUAUAGACUGGAACUAGCCAGAUCAGUACCGU